CCCAAGAGAAGCAGACAGACUCUGACCCAAGCUCUGCAUCACCCGGGUGUGUUGACGUCCCUGUUGUCGGAGAACGUGGCCGCUUCUUGUGAAGUGAGAGAAGAAAGCAGAAGACGUGUCUUCCUGAGAGGAGGCCACUGCUGGUGAGGAAGAGCCAUCGGCCCACGGCCAGAGUGCUCACCGCACCACCCCUUCUGUCCUCACAGCAACCCUGUGAGAUGGGCACCAGGAUUCUUGUUUCCAGACGAGGACACUGAGUGCCAGAGAACAUGAGCAAGUGACCCAGAUCAUUUGGCCAACAAAUGACGUCCGAUGGAAUGGAAAGUCAUGAAGAAAGAGGAAGGAGCGCUGCUGGGGUCAGCUGAAACCACUCGUCACUGCCGGGGUAUGAGGUAUGAAUCUUGCACAAGCUGGGUUUGUCCCCACCAAAUGCAAGAUGUGUGACCUGUCUACGCUGGAGGACUACAUCUUCCCAGAGGGGCAGAGGCCUGGCAGAGCAUGAGUGACCGCCAAGACCAUAACACUGGACAGUGGAGAGGCCUCAGAGAGGAUGAACCCAGUACAUGCCUGAGAACUGAAUUGAAGCCUGAGACCAGCUCUGGGUCUUCCCACCACCACACAGAUCCUCAGCACGGAGCAAAGAUGAAACCCAGGGCUCCCCACCUGUGGGCCAGCUCUCUACACCAUCACACCAGCUGCCCUAGGCCACCGCAUACCUUUAAACACGSCCUUGACCGCACCUCCUGGGCAUGUCCUGGAAGAACCUUGCUGGGGGUCUCACAUCACCCCACAACAUGGCCUUAGGAGACCACAAUAUGCCACCCUAAAAUAUGCUUCUCUAGCAUAUUUUGGGCUCAUUAUUUUACAAAACUGCAUAACAGUAGCUUGGAAAGUCUGUCCUUUUGUAAAAUAUUUCAAGAAAUCUACAAUAAUAAACGACUCCUAUCAGGAUAGCGCUGCCCUGCUCGUGGGCAGCGUUUUGUCUGCAGGUGGGACAACUUUUAAGCCCCAUGUGUUCUCUCUCCCAUCCCCAGAGUCCCCAGGCCCCUGCUCCUCCCUGUAGCUCAGGAUGCUAGAUGGGCUUCCUUCUCCUGGCUCUUCCUUGAGUCCUGUGUGUUAUGGGACUUCUGUGUGUUGAGUGUGUACAAUUAAACAUGC